AUAGACACUUUCUCUAUGACUAGGUUAAUGUUUAUCUACAACAAUAUAAUAGAAAAUAAAAGAGCACGUGUUAUGAAUUAAUGCCUUCCACCAUUGGCGGCUGGUCGACGACCACUGAUCUGCAUCUUUAAGGCCACAACCUUCCACAUUUUUCUUUCCUCCACAUGCUAUCGCAACCCCCUGAAAGUCCAACCAUCACUGUCACAAUUUCAAAUGGUGGUUACCAGACUUGAAAUAGUGGUGCGUCACGAAAACCUUUCCGGUAGCCGGACAUAAAAGAGUGGUGCUCGUGGAAUGGUUUUGCCUUUCAUUCUCCAUCCGACAUGAAAGAGUGGUGCGUCGGAAAAACCCUUAAGAUCUCCUUCCGACAAACCAAAUCUCCAACCGACAAAUCAAAUCCACUCUAAAGAACAAGGUCUCCUUCCAUCUGAAGGUGUUUCCCCAGUGAUCCGUGUGUUUUAGGCCAUUUGUAUGUUUUUUCAUGUACUUUUUCGACAAUCUUUAUAUCAUUUAGUUUAUGUUCUAGUUUGAAUAUAUAGUUUUUGCUUUGUAAUUUGGUUAUUGGAUCUAUAGUUUUGAGAUUGUAUCUAGUUUGGAUAUGAUUUUUGUUUUGUUUAUAGAUUUCUUAUUUUAGGUAGCUAUGACUGGAGGUUAUUUGUGGCGGUGGUCAAAUGUGGUUUUGCGGUGACCGGACACAAGGAACGGUGAUGAUCUCAUUUUAAUGUAUUUUAUUAUUUAAAUAAAUAAAUAACAAAUUAAUUAAAAAAUAAGUAGAUAAGAGUAACAUAGUUUUAUUUAUUUAUUUAUGUCUAGGACCAAAUACUCAACAAAAACACAUAUGAGAAUUUUCUAAAUUACAAAAUAAAAAAAAUAACUAUAGACAAAACAUACAAAUUACCUCAUAUUAUAAGGACCAUUAUUGUAAUUUACUAUUGGUGUUAUAGCGACGGGAAUGGUUUUUAUUUUAAUGCUAAAUCUUUGUUUGCAUGAAGUAUUAUACCUUUUCAAUUUAUAUAAUAAAUUGGUUUCUAUAAAACGUCACGAGUUAAAUAUUGACUAAGUAGACCAAUGUUAAAUGUUUUUAUUAAUUUAUGCAACAAAUAUGUUUUUUUGUCAAAAAAACAGACGAUCAUGUUUUAUAAAGUAAAAAAAGAAAAAAAUAAAAAAAGAGAGAAAAAACAAAAUCUACUAAUCCAAGUCUUUUUCAACAUUAGGCAACAUUAAGGUUUUCGACUUAUGAAAUACAUAAAAAAGAAGUCGUUUUGAAAAAAGAAAAUAAAAAAUAAAAAAUAAUUGACCAUAAAGGUUCAUAUCAUAUAUUUGGGUAACCACCGAAAUUUUACUUGUCCAAAAACCACUACCAUUCCCAUGAAAACAUGUUCGUAAACUAGCGAAUAAAUUAGAGCUUGAUAUUUACUCGCUAACAUAAUUUAUUCUGGAUGCUACUGUUAAGACACCUUUCGGAGAUUCCAUAAACAUCUUUAUCAAAAGUCAACCUAUAGUUAAUCACUUAUAAUCAUUUUUUUUUUCAGAAAGCAAUGCAAUUUCAACCUAUAAAAAUACCUUAAAAACUAUAUAGGGUGUCUAAAUGAUAAAAUAUGGUGUCUUUUAUAGCCAACCCCUUUAUUCUUCGUAGGUCUACUUUUCCAUCAAAUUGCUUACCUAGCUUACCUAGAUAGGUCGCGAAAGAUGUUGCUAAUAAUUUGUUAUAUGCAAAUCAUCUAGUAUAUAUAGUAGGUGUUUAGGACGAGGAAGAAAAAACUACUACAACACAAUAUGUUUUGUCAAAACUUCCAUAAAUCGAUGUCUACUAAUAAAGACAUCGGAGAUGGAGAUGAAAAUGGUGAUUUAACAUAUGCAAAGUUCUAAAAAGCUUGACAUGGCUCUGUCAUGACGCGUCAUAGCUCCAAGGCUUGUAUUUACCGCCAAGUUUUACCAAAACGCCGCAUUAACUUAUAUAUGUGUAUAAAAAUGAAUAAUAGUUGAAAAUACAUAUAAAAUUAUUAAUUAUAUACAAAAUUGUCAUCUUAUGCCACGCCUUACAAAUGACGUGACUUGCCAAGGCUCAGAAAAGCUUGAGGUUUGACAUUGCUGCCAAGUCACGUCUUACAUUAUUUAGAACCUUGAACAUAUGUCAUGGAUUAUAUCCAAGUGAAUUGAUAAAUAAUCUUUGAUUUUGUAUUGUUUCGAUGUAGAUAAGGAAAGCAAACUACUUAAAAGACCAUAUGUUGUGGCCAAGCUAUGGUUAUUUUAGCCAGUUAUAAUAUUGUUGUUUGAGAAGAAUAACAAGCAGAUUACGGGGAUUAAUGUAUAUGUGAAUUAACAUGAUUAAUAUACAUGUGAAUUAACAUGUCUAGAUGGUUCGCAUGAAGUUUGUAUAAGAUCUUUAAUGACUAUGC
rnacentral:lncRNA from 1 species